rnacentral:rRNA from 1 species
AAAAACGACUCUCGGCAACGGAUAUCUCGGCUCUUGCAUCGAUGAAGAACGUAGCGAAAUGCGAUACUUGGUGUGAAUUGCAGAAUCCCGUGAACCAUCGAGUCUUUGAACGCAAGUUGCGCCCAAAGCCAUUCGGUUGAGGGCACGCCUGCUUGGGUGUCGUG